UGGAGUGCAAGCAGAGCUGGGCUGAGCUGGGUGUGCAGCCCAGCUCAAGUGGGGACAUGCCCAGAUGCUGAGCUGCUCAGGGAGCAUUGCUGAUGGAAACAAGGAUGCAUAAAGGCUUGGGGAUUGGGAACAUUGCCUGUUCCAAUGAAGGCAGCCACGGGGCAGGUUGUGUGAAGUGUCUGAGCUGCUCUGACAGUUUGCUCCUGCCAAAAGAGAGAAAUCUCUCUGUCCCACCCAGCUCUUGGUAGAGCUUUGCUGAACCAGUUCACCACACUGAGUGCAGCAGUGGGGAGCUAUCAGAGCAAGUAUCUCGUGGGACUUCAUCCUGCCAGUUUCUGAAAGAUCUGGAAGAAAUUACAAGAGUGACAGUUGUGAGAGGAACGUACUCCAGAUUGGCGGGGUUAGUUUGUGCUUUGUUACCACAUUGCCUCUUCCUAGCAAAGUGGAUGUGCUGGUGGUAUUCCUGGAUUUCUUGAGCUCUCAUGCUAACUCUGCAGAAGGUGGCAAUUCUGCUCCACUUUACACCAGACAAUUGCCAUUUGCUCUGGGGAGUUGUUGUUACUGGUUUGAGGAAGCCAAGGAAGAGAGGAUCCAACCUGACUUUCAAACUUCACAUUGUUUCCUGGGCCAGCUGUUGGGGAGGAAAAAAAAUCAAUUAUUUGCUUCAAGGCUGAAUUAUUCUAUUGGAGAAACCACAGCGGUGCUAACGCCAGGACAGUGCAGGAGGCAGGAAUCCGAACUGGCUGCCUGAUGCUUAAGAAGGUGAAUAAUGACUUGGAGAAGACCUGACGUGACCAUGGAAAGUCCACAGGGAAAGAACCCUAGGGAAGAAGGUCUUGCUGGCUUGAUGUCUGAAAACUAAACAAAAACCAAAUACAAAACAAAACAAAAAAUCCAAAGAGAAGGGACUGAUUUUCUUAGUAUGUCCAAAACCAAGAAAUGAGCUCAAACAUAGCCAGCAAGAGGAUGGCUAGAGUAAACACGUGCACUCAGAAGUUGUCAUCUCAUUUCUUAAUCUGAGAGUCUUUGUGAAAUGAGUAAAUGUUUUGCCUGAAUAAGAAACUUGGCAAUUGCUGCAAACCCACAGGCUCCCUGAUUCUGCUCUUGCUGACCACGCUCAGGACACCACAUGAGAUCAAGGGUGAGCAGGAAGGGGAACGCACCCCUGGAACAGGAUGGGGCAGAACCAGAACCUCACCUUCUGCCACAAUGCUGUGAAUUCAACAUUUCACCCAAGCAAACCCACAUUUCCUGGCAGUGCUGGGGCUGGCCUGGAAUCCAGACCUGGUCUGCUCAAGGGAAAAGGGAAUGGGAGUCCUGGAGGGAGAGAAUUCCUUGGCAAGCACCCCUAAGUCAUUUACCUUUUUGGAGAAACUACAGCAGGACCCCAACAACAGCCUGAUGUGCACUGAGCUACAGCUCUGGACAGUGAACAGCAAAUGCUUCACGUCCUGCAUUGAGCUGGAGAUUUUGAAGCAAUAUGUUUUUGAGGAGAUAUGUUUACCCAGUUCUAUAGAAAUCUUGAUGAAAAAAGCUUUGGCUCAGCCUGUGAGAUGCUCCUAAAUA